GUCUACGGCCAAGCCACCCUGAACAAGUCUGAUCCCAUCUGAUCUUGAAAGCUAAGCAGGGUCGGGCCUGGUUAGUACUUGGAUGGGAGACCACUUAGGAUGACUGGGAGCAGUAGGCA
rnacentral:rRNA from 1 species